CGUCCUCUCUACCCGUUGUCUCUAACCGUCCUCUCUCCCCGUCCUCUCUCCCCGUCCUCUCUCCCCGUCCUGUCUACCCGUCCUCUCUCUCCGUCGUCUCCACGUCCUCUCUCCACGUCCUCUCUCCCCGUCCUCUCUACCCGUCCUCUCCCCAUCCUCUCUACCCGCCGGUUCCAGCCAAUCAGCUGCUAAUGUGCAGGAACAGGAGAGGGCUGCGCUGGCAGAUGGCGUCCUGACCUGGAGACCCCGCCCCCUCUUCAGGGUUCAGCAGCGGGCAGAUGACAGGCUCUCCUCCAGAUGUUGGACGGUGCUCCGGUUCCUCCCAGCUGUGUCCGGCUGUCAAAUAGAUCUUUUUUUCUGCACAAAAAACAGGCAGCAAAGAAAAUGAAUUUUCUGCAAAUAACAAACAGAACUGGUACCAAGACUUAAAAACAAUAAAAUAAUUCUCCUUGGUGGAAUCAUAUUUUGUAUUAUUCCCCUUUUUAGGGGACGUUUCUUUUAGCGUUUACAGCGUGAAUAAAGUCAUCGACCAGAACGCCCAGUGCAGGAGAUUAUUCAUUUAUUAUUGUUAUUAUUCCAAAAACACUGAUGCAAAAUUGUAAAGUUUAUUACUCUUUUUAACCUUGACGAAGUCAGCGUAUACCAACUUAAAUUCAUGUCUUUUCACAAUAAAAGGCCUGGACAGCAGCCGAGUAUUUC
ensembl:lncRNA